rnacentral:rRNA from 2 species
UAAGGAAGGCAGCAGGCGCGUAAAUUACCCAAUCCUAAUUCAGGGAGGUAGUGACAAGAAAUAACAACUCGGGCCCCACAUGGGGUUGCGAGAUUGCAAUGAGAACAAUUUAAACCACUUAUCGAGUAACAAUUGGAGGGCAAGUCUGGUGCCAGCAGCCGCGGUAAUUCCAGCUCCAAUAGCGUAUAUUAAAGUUGUUGCAGUUAAAAAGCUCGUAGUUGAAUUUCUGGCCGGCGCUGUUCACGGCUCUCGCAGUCGGUUCAGGAGCCUGGUCAUCCGUAUGGGAAGCUAGCACGUCCUUCAGUGGUCGGCUAGUGGAUCA